rnacentral:lncRNA from 1 species
AGCCAAUGUGAGGACCCCUGUAUAUGCUGAGCUCUACGGAAAAUUAAGCAAAAUAGAGAGGUACAGCAUUUAGAAAUGCUAGCAGUGGGGUAAAGAAAAGAUCAUGGGAUUUGGGAUUGCACAGAGUCCAGUGGUGCACUGAUUUUGCUGAUUAAACUGAUAAAUAAUGAACUCAAAAUGUUUUAGGCAGCUGUUAGUGUCAGAGAUCAGAUUAAUCUUCAGCAUGAAAGAGAGAAGAUAUUCAAGUUUACAGCACUCCGGAGCAGUGAUAUCCCUGUAGAAGACAUGAAAAACUCUUCUCUAUGGCUCCUGGAUGCUUACAUAACGUUCAAUUAUGCAUAAUAUCAACACUCGUGUUUCAAGACUUUUGGGAAGACUAAUAACAAGGAAAAGAGGGGGAAGAGGGCAGGGAGGGAAGAAAGAAGAGAUUUCCCAUAGAAAUAAAUUGAUUGCAUUGUACUGAGCAUUGG